UGUGUCCACACCUCCAUCUAGAUGGAUU
rnacentral:piRNA from 1 species